rnacentral:rRNA from 1 species
AGAGUUUGAUCAUGGCUCAGAUUGAACGCUGGCGGCAGGCCUAACACAUGCAAGUCGAGCGGCAGCGCGGGGCAACCUGGCGGCGAGCGGCGGACGGGUGAGUAACGCGUAGGAAUCUACCCAGUAGCGGGGGAUAGCCCGGGGAAACUCGGAUUAAUACCGCAUACGCCCUAAGGGGGAAAGCAGGGGAUCGUAAGACCUUGCAUUAUUGGAAGAGCCUGCGUUGGAUUAGCUAGUUGGUAGGGUAAAGGCCUACCAAGGCGACGAUCCAUAACUGGUCUGAGAGGAUGAUCAGUCACACCGGAACUGAGACACAGUCCGGACUCCUACGGGAGGCAGCAGUGGGGAAUAUUGGACAAUGGGGGCAACCCUGAUCCAGCCAUGCCGCGUGUGUGAAGAAGGCCUUCGGGUUGUAAAGCACUUUAAGUGGGGAGAAAGGUUCGCUGGCUAAUACCCAGCGGAAUUGAUGCUACCCACAGAAUAAGCACCGGCUAACUCUGUGCCAGCAGCCGCGGUAAUACAGAGGGUGCAAGCGUUAAUCGGAAUUACUGGGCGUAAAGGGCGCGUAGGCGGCGUGUCAAGUCAAUUGUGAAAUCUCCGAGCUUAACUCGGAACGGUCAAUUGAUACUGAUGUGCUAGAGUGCAGAAGGGGCAAUCGGAAUUCUUGGUGUAGCGGUGAAAUGCGUAGAUAUCAAGAGGAACACCUGAGGUGAAGACGGGUUGCUGGGCUGACACUGACGCUGAGGCGCGAAAGCUAGGGUAGCAAACGGGAUUAGAUACCCCGGUAGUCC